GACGAACGCUGGCGGCGUGCUUAACACAUGCAAGUCGAACGAUGAAGCCUAGCUUGCUAGGUGGAUUAGUGGCGAACGGGUGAGUAAUACGUGAGUGACCUACCUUUGACUCUGGGAUAAGCCUGGGAAACUGGGUCUAAUACCGGAUACGACCAAUCUCCGCAUGGGGUGUUGGUGGAAAGCGUUAUGGAGUGGUUUUAGAUGGGCUCACGGCCUAUCAGCUUGUUGGUGAGGUAAUGGCUUACCAAGGCGACGACGGGUAGCCGGCCUGUGAGGGUGACCGGCCACACUGGGACUGAGACACGGCCCAGACUCCUACGGGAGGCAGCAGUGGGGAAUAUUGCACAAUGGGCGCAAGCCUGAUGCAGCGACGCCGCGUGAGGGAUGACGGCCUUCGGGUUGUAAACCUCUGUUAGCAUCGAAGAAGCGAAAGUGACGGUAG
rnacentral:rRNA from 1 species